GACGAACGCUGGCGGCGUGCCUAAUACAUGCAAGUAGAACGCACAGUAUAUACCGUAGCUUGCUACACCAUAGACUGUGAGUUGCGAACGGGUGAGUAACGCGUAGGUAACCUGCCUGGUAGCGGGGGAUAACUAUUGGAAACGAUAGCUAAUACCGCAUAAUAUUAAUUAUUGCAUGAUAAUUGAUUGAAAGAUGCAACUGCAUCACUACCAGAUGGACCUGCGCUGUAUUAGCUAGUAGGUGAGGUAACGGCUCACCUAGGCGACGAUACAUAGCCGACCUGAGAGGGUGACCGGCCACACUGGGACUGAGACACGGCCCAGACUCCUACGGGAGGCAGCAGUAGGGAAUCUUCGGCAAUGGACGAAAGUCUGACCGAGCAACGCCGCGUGAGUGAAGAAGGUUUUCGGAUCGUAAAGCUCUGUUGUAAGAGAAGAAACGGGUG
rnacentral:rRNA from 1 species